UAGAAUGUAUGAGCAUUGUAGAUUCCUGGUGCCUACCUAAACUCUCACUCUUCUGCCACGUUCUUGCUGUCCCUCUGUCCUUUCUUCUACACCUUUUCUCCUCCUCCCUUUUUUUUUGAUUCGUCCCUUUAUUCUUCCACACCAUUAUUGCGAGAAUCGAAUUCCCUACCCUUUAUUCAAUGGCCGACGAAGACAGAUCAGCUUAAUUGCUUUUACUGACUUUGGCCUGUUGAUUCCACUUCAUCUUCGUCUCCGCACAUGUGGAACAACAUUAUCAUCAGAAUCUCGUCACAAACUUUUUAAGAAAAACCUGUUUGGAUCCCACGGUGCAAUAUCUUGCUUUCUUAAAAAGAUCAAGCUACCGCCUGAACCGAAUGACCACCACAUGAUGAUUGUUGAAGCGCAAUAGCGACUUCAGAGGAAGCAAGGCGAAAGAGAACUCCUUGUCCAGUACUCGCCUCAAUGUUAAUUAUCCAACUACCAUUUGCACACAACACAACAAAAGCAACUGCUAAAUAAAGAAUGAAAAACAUAUUAUGAUACAUAACU
rnacentral:misc_RNA from 1 species